rnacentral:tRNA from 1 species
GGAAGGGUCGCAUAGUGGCCGAGUGCGCGCGCUUGGAAAGCGCGUAUACCGAAAGGUAUCGCGGGUUCGAAUCCCGCCCCUUCCGCCA